AUUGAACGCUGGCGGAAUGCUUUACACGUGCAAGUCGAACGGCAGCACGGGGGCAACCCUGGUGGCGAGUGGCGAACGGGUGAGUAAUACAUCGGAACGUGCCCAGUCGUGGGGGAUAACGUAGCGAAAGUUACGCUAAUACCGCAUACGAUCUACGGAUGAAAGCGGGGGACCGUAAGGCCUCGCGCGAUUGGAGCGGCCGAUGUCAGAUUAGGUAGUUGGUGAGGUAAAGGCUCACCAAGCCGACGAUCUGUAGCUGGUCUGAGAGGACGACCAGCCACACUGGGACUGAGACACGGCCCAGACUCCUACGGGAGGCGGCAGUGGGGAAUUUUGGACAAUGGGCGCAAGCCUGAUCCAGCCAUUCCGCGCGCAGGACGAAGGCCUUCGGGUUGUAAACUGCUUUUGUACGGAACGAAAAGGCUCUGGUUAAUACCUGGGGCUCAUGACGGUACCGUAAGAAUAAGCACCGGCUAACUACGUGCCAGCCGCCGCGGUAA
rnacentral:rRNA from 1 species